rnacentral:rRNA from 1 species
GACGAACGCUGGCGGCGUGCCUAACACAUGCAAGUCGAGCGGUAAGGCCCUUUCGGGGGUACACGAGCGGCGAACGGGUGAGUAACACGUGGGUGACCUGCCCUCAGCUCUGGGAUAAGCCUGGGAAACCGGGUCUAAUACCGGAUAUGACUCCAUGACGCAUGUUGUGGGGUGGAAAGCCUUGUGCGGCUGAGGAUGGGCCCGCGGCCUAUCAGCUUGUUGGUGGGGUGANGGCCUACCAAGGCGACGACGGGUAGCCGGCCUGAGAGGGCGACCGGCCACACUGGGACUGAGACACGGCCCAGACUCCUACGGGAGGCAGCAGUGGGGAAUCUUGCGCAAUGGGCGAAAGCCUGACGCAGCGACGCCGCGUGAGGGAUGACGGCCUCGG